GACACUGGACUGUUUCCGGGGGAGGAGGGGGGAGUGUUCGGCGGUCUAUUUGACUCUCUGUAUGGGAUGAGUCCUGUCUCUGCCCUGAUCACAUCUCCUGUGUAUGAUGGAUCCAGCAGAGCAGCUUUUGCCAAUCGAUGAAGAAAAUCUCAGUGUGGUAGAUCUGGAGAAAAUUGUCCGCCAAUUGACAGAGGAGGUAGAGCGGCACAGAGAGGAGCUAACCAAACAAAAGGGAGAACUUCAGGACCUCCAUGCAGAAGAGACUGAGAGGAGCCGGAGCCGGGAACGUUAUGUCUCCCUCUUCGUUCAGAUAAUGGAUCUACAAGAAGCUCUGGAGGAGGAAGAGAAGACCUGGCAGCAGUUGCGGGAGGUGAACCAGGAGAUGGAGAGGCUUAGUAAGCCAUCAGAGCUGGAGUCCAGUGAAGUCCUGGAGUCCAGAUCGAAGGAGAUGGAAAAUCUUAUCGCUGCCUACCAAGAGAAGGAGAAGAAACUCCAAGAGGAAUCCAAACAUCUAAAGAGUUUACUAGAGAAAUCAAAGGAAGAGCUGGUCCAAUCAGAAUCGGAGCAUCGGAGAGUGGAAGAAGAACUUCACGCCGCACAGACGGCCCUCUCCGAUUAUGGCGGCCAGGGACUUACUGAGAUGGAGCUGCUCUUGGACUCCUGCAUUAGAGAGGUCAGACAGCUCAACAUCUUACCCGGCAAAAAGCGGCACAAGAAGUGACGUCGGCCCCUUGGGGAUUUCCCCGUGGACAGGUUUUACUGGCCAGGUAAAAUAAGCUGUACAGAUCUCUUCCGCUUCCUCUCUGGGUUCUCCACCUUGGUCCAUCUCCUGUCCAGAAAUACUUGCAGAAAGUGACCGGCCCGAACUUUUCAUGGUGCAACAGAAGUGGCAAUGUGGCUAUUGACCGUCGGAGCAGCGCUGUGUGCUUCACCACGUGUCCAGCAGGGGGCAUAGGCUGUCCAUUGAAUAGAAGGAAAUGAUUCUACGGAAGAAUGUUAGUGAUCUGUACAUGUACUAUAAAUGUCUUUUUUUUAUCGGUCAUGAUUUGAAUGAAUUGCUAUUUAUAUUAAAGUGUUUUGCGACCCUAUGUAUAAAAAUCCCACAAUAAAGGAGAAUUUUCUAUACAGAAA